GAGUUUGAUCCUGGCUCAGAUUGAACGCUGGCGGCAGGCUUAACACAUGCAAGUCGAGCGGAGCGAGGGUGCUUGCACCUUAGCUUAGCGGCGGACGGGUGAGUAAUGCUUAGGAAUCUGCCUAUUAGCGGGGGACAACAUUCCGAAAGGAAUGCUAAUACCGCAUACGCCCUACGGGGGAAAGCAGGGGAUCUUCGGACCUUGCGCUAAUAGAUGAGCCUAAGUCGGAUUAGCUAGUUGGUGGGGUAAAGGCCUACCAAGGCGACGAUCUGUAGCGGGUCUGAGAGGAUGAUCCGCCACACUGGGACUGAGACACGGCCCAGACUCCUACGGGAGGCAGCAGUGGGGAAUAUUGGACAAUGGGCGGAAGCCUGAUCCAGCCAUGCCGCGUGUGUGAAGAAGGCCUUUUGGUUGUAAAGCACUUUAAGCGAGGAGGAGGCUCUUAAGGUUAAUACCCUUGAUGAGUGGACGUUACUCGCAGAAUAAGCACCGGCUAACUCUGUGCCAGCAGCCGCGGUAAUACAGAGGGUGCGAGCGUUAAUCGGAUUUACUGGGCGUAANCGUGCGUAGGCGGCUGAUUAAGUCGGAUGUGAAAUCCCUGAGCCUAACCUAAGGAAUUGCAUUCGAUACCUGGUCAGCUAGAAGUAUUNGGAGANGAAUGGAGAAUUCCANGNGUAGCGGUGAAAUCGUAAGAUCUGAGGAAUACGAUGCAAGGAGCAUGGG
rnacentral:rRNA from 1 species